rnacentral:rRNA from 1 species
GACGAACGCUGGCGGCGUGCCUAAUACAUGCAAGUAGAACGCACAGUUUAUACCGUAGCUUGCUACACCAUAAACUGUGAGUUGCGAACGGGUGAGUAACGCGUAGGUAACCUGCCUGGUAGCGGGGGAUAACUAUUGGAAACGAUAGCUAAUACCGCAUAAUAUUGAUUAUUGCAUGAUAAUUGAUUGAACGAUGCUAUUGCAUCACUACCAGAUGGACCUGCGUUGUAUUAGCUAGUAGGUGAGGUAACGGCUCACCUAGGCGACGAUACAUAGCCGACCUGAGAGGGUGAUCGGCCACACUGGGACUGAGACACGGCCCAGACUCCUACGGGAGGCAGCAGUAGGGAAUCUUCGGCAAUGGACGAAAGUCUGACCGAGCAACGCCGCGUGAGUGAAGAAGGUUUUCGGAUCGUAAAGCUCUGUUGUAAGAGAAGAACGGGUGUGAGAGUGGAAAGUUCACACUGUGACGGUAUCUUACCAGAAAGAGACGGCUAACUACGUG